rnacentral:sRNA from 1 species
AGAGAGAAAACUGAACGAAAGCGG